rnacentral:rRNA from 1 species
UACGUAGGUUGCAGGCGUUAAUCGGAAUUACUGGGCGUAAAGCGUGCGCAGGCGGUUUUCUAAGUCAGGUGUGAAAUCCCCGGGCUUAACCUGGGAACUGCGCUUGUAACUGGCAAGCUAGAGUGUGGCAGAGGGGGGUGGAAUUCCACGUGUAGCAGUGAAAUGCGUAGAGAUGUGGAGGAACACCGAUGGCGAAGGCAGCCCCCUGGGCUAACACUGACGCUCAUGCACGAAAGCGUGGGGAGCAAACAGG